GACAGAGGUGCCGAGCGUUUAGGCGGAAUCACUGGGCUUAAAGCGUGUGUAGGCGGGCCGUUAAGUAUCUUGUGAAAUCCCCCGGCUCAACCGGGGAAUGGCUGGAUAUACUGGCGGUCUUGAGCGAUCUAGGGGCAGAUGGAACAAGUGGUGGAGCGGUGAAAUGCGUAGAUAUCACUUGGAACGCCAAAGGUGAAAACAGUCUGCUGGGGAUCUGCUGACGCUGAGACACGAAAGCCAGGGGAGCGAACGGG
rnacentral:rRNA from 1 species